UAGAACGCUGAAGCUUGGUGCUUGCACCGAGCGGAUGAGNNNNNNNNNNNNGUUGUCUCGCCAGAGGCAUCGCUGGGUAGCUAUGUAGGGAAGGGAUAAACGCUGAAAGCAUCUAAGUGUGAAACCCACCUCAAGAUGAGAUUUCCCAUGAUUUUAUAUCAGUAAGAGCCCUGAGAGAAGAUCAGGUAGAUAGGUUAGGAGUGGAAGUUGUGUGAGCAAUGGAGCGGACUAAUACUAAUAGCUCGA
rnacentral:ncRNA from 1 species